ACACACACACACACACACACACACACACACACAUACAUAUACAUAUAUGCACACUCACGGAUAGGUAAAUACUUGAGACACACAUAUGCAUGCUCGCAUGCACGAACACACACACAAAUGACCUCUCUCACACACACAU